AUGACUGAUUUAGAGAUCAUUCUUGAAUUUUGGAACUAGAAUCUAUAAUGAGCCCUUAACCCUGGUUGAUGAACCAUGACCGUGCGGCUAGAGCGUGAUUGACGGCUACGAUCGUCCUCGGACGCAUCCAGUGCUGUAGAGGAUCGUUACUCGGCUCGGUUUCUACCUUGCCGGGGUGGUCGCACGGCGGUCUGACAGGUC